UCGAGCGAAAGAAGAGGGCCUUGCUCCUUUGACGUUAGCGGAGGACGGAUGAAAGCGUGGGGGAGCAAACAGGAUAGGUAGGGAUAACCCUGGUAGUUCACGCCCGUAAACGAAGAGUGAUAAGUGUUAGGGGGUUUCCGCCCUUUAGUGCUGCAGCUAACGCAUUAAGCACUCCGCCUGGGGAGUACGGUCGCAAGAUUGAAACGUCAAAGGAAUUGACGGKGGCCCUGCACAAGCGGUGUGAGCAUGUGGUUUAAUUGAAGCAACGCGAAGAACCUUACCAGGUCUUGACAUCCCGUUGACCACCGUAGAGAUAUGGAAUUUUCCCUAGUCGGGGACAACCUGAUGGUGACAGGUGGUGCGACUGGUUGUCGUCAGCUCGUGUCGUAGAGAUCUGUUGGGUUAAGUCACCGCAACUUUUUGAGCGCAACACCUUGAUAUUAGUUGCCAUCAUUUAGUUGCCACGGCACUUUAAGGUGACUGCAACCGCGGUGACAAACCGGAGGAAGGCGUGGUCCGGAAUUAUUAGGCGUCAAAUCAUGCAUGCGAUCCUUUAACUCUGACCUGGGCUACACACGUGCUACAAUGGACGAUACAAACGGUUGCCAACUCGCGGAGAUGGGAGCUAAUCCGAUAAAGUCGAAUUCUCAGUGUAUCGGAUUGUAGGCUGCAACUCGCCUACAKGAAGCCGGAAUCGCUAAAGUAACUCGUCGGAUCAGCAACUGCCGCUGAGGUGAGAAUACGUGAGUGAGCUCCCGGGCCUUGUACACCCCGCCCUCAUCACCACGAGAGUUUGUAACACCAGAAGUCGGUGGGGUAAGCCCCUUAGUGCUGCAUCUACCGCCUGAAGAACUCCGCCUGGGGGAUUACGGUCCCAAUGA
rnacentral:rRNA from 1 species